AUACGAACCGUACGAACGUUAUUCGGAAUCACUGGGCUUAAAGAGUGCGUAGGCGGCUUGGAAAGUUGGGUGUGAAAUCCCUCGGCUCAACCGAGGAAUUGCGCUCAAAACUUCCAGGCUUGAGGGAGAUAGAGGUAAGCGGAACUAAUGGUGGAGCGGUGAAAUGCGUUGAUAUCAUUAGGAACACCUGAGGCGAAAGCAGCUUACUGGGUCUCUUCUGACGCUGAGGCACGAAAGCUAGGGGAGCGAACGGGAUUAGAAACCCGAGUAGUCC
rnacentral:rRNA from 1 species